AAUGGUGUAGGGAUCCGAAAGGUGACCGACCUUCGGGAGCCAUUACAGGUGUUGCAUGGCUGUCGUCAGCUCGUGUCGUGAGAUGUUCGGUUAAGUCCGCUAACGAGCGCAACCCUCGCUGUGUGUUAUAUGUGUCACACAGGACUGCUGGUAUUAAGCCGGAGGAAGGUGGGGACGACGUCAAGUCAGCAUGACCUUUAUAUCCAGGGCUACACACACGCUACGAUGGUCAGUACAAUGGGUUGCCAAGCCGCGAGGCGGAGCCAAUCCUAAAAAGCUGGCCUCAGUUCAGAUUGCAGUCUGAAACUCGACUGCAUGAAGUCGGAGUUGCUAGUAAACGUAGGUCAGCUAUACUGCGUUGAAUACGUUCCCGGGGCUU
rnacentral:rRNA from 1 species